rnacentral:rRNA from 1 species
UACGGGGGGUGCAAGCGUUGUUCGGAAUCAUUGGGCGUAAAGAGCGUGUAGGCGGCUGGACAAGUCAGAUGUGAAAUCCCUGGGCUUAACCCAGGAAGUGCAUUUGAAACUGUCUAGCUGGAGUAAGGGAGAGGAAAGUGGAAUUCCUGGUGUAGAGGUGAAAUUCGUAGAUAUCAGGAGGAACACCGGUGGCGAAGGCGACUUUCUGGCCCUAUACUGACGCUGAGACGCGAAAGCGUGGGUAGCAAACAGG